rnacentral:rRNA from 1 species
GAUGAACGCUGGCGGCGUGCCUAAUACAUGCAAGUCGAACGGAAAGGCCCUGCUCUUGCGCGGCGCUCGUGUGGCGAACGGGGGUGUAUCACGCGAGUAUACCGCCCCUGACAUUGGGAUAACUCUAGGAAACUGCGGCUCAUAUCGGAUAGGAUCUCUUGCUGCACGGUGGGGGUUGGAAAGUUUCGGCGGUUGGGGAUGGACUGGCGGCUUAUCGGCUUGUUGGUGGGGUAGUGGCUUACCAAGGGUUCGACGGGUAGCCGGCCUGGGAGGGUGGCCGGCCACAAGAGGACUGAGGUACGGCGCAGACUCCUACGGGAGGCAGCGGUGGAGAGUAUGGCGCAAUAGGCGGAAGCCUGAUACGACAACGCCGCGUGCGGAAUAACGGCCUUCGAGUUAUGAACAGCUUUCGCCUUUGACAAGGCGUGAGUGACGGUAAUGGGUAAGAAAGCACCGGCUAACUACGUG